AUUGAACGCUGGCGGCAGGCCUAACACAUGCAAGUCGAACGAGUGGCGGACGGGUGAGUAAUGUCUGGGAAACUGCCCGCUGGAGGGGGAUAACUACUGGAAACGGUAGCUAAUACCGCAUACCAUCGGAUGUGCCCAGAUGGGAUUAGCUGGUGGGUGGGGUAACGCCUCACCUAGGCGACGAUCCCUAGCUGGUCUGAGAGGAUGACCAGCCACACGGGAACGGGGAAACGGUCCAGACCCCUACGGGAGGCAGCAGUGGGGAACAUUGCACAAGGGGGGAAAGCCUGAUGAAGCCAUGCGGCGUGUAUGAAGAAGGCCUUCGGGUUGUAAAGUACUUUCAGCGAGGAGGCGUUACUCGCAGAAGAAGCAUCGGCUAACUCCGUGCCAGCCGCCGCGGUAAUAC
rnacentral:rRNA from 1 species